rnacentral:rRNA from 1 species
AGUGAGCGCUGGCGGUAGGCCUAACACAUGCAAGUCGAACGGCAGCACAGUAAGAGCUUGCUCUUACGGGUGGCGAGUGGCGGACGGGUGAGGAAUACAUCGGAAUCUACUUUUUCGUGGGGGAUAACGUAGGGAAACUUACGCUAAUACCGCAUACGACCUACGGGUGAAAGCAGGGGAUCUUCGGACCUUGCGCGAUUGAAUGAGCCGAUGUCGGAUUAGCUAGUUGGCGGGGUAAAGGCCCACCAAGGCGACGAUCCGUAGCUGGUCUGAGAGGAUGAUCAGCCACACUGGAACUGAGACACGGUCCAGACUCCUACGGGAGGCAGCAGUGGGGAAUAUUGGACAAUGGGCGCAAGCCCGAUCCAGCCAUACCGCGUGGGUGAAGAAGGCCUUCGGGUUGUAAAGCCCUUUUGUUGGGAAAGAAAAGCAGCAGGUUAAUACCCCGCUGUUCUGACGGUACCCAAAGAAUAAGCACCGGCUAACUUCGUG